GACGAACGCUGGCGGCGUGCUUAACACAUGCAAGUCGAACGGAAAGGCCCUGCGUUUGUGGGGUUCUCGAGUGGCGAACGGGUGAGUAACACGUGAGUAACCUGCCCUUGACUUUGGGAUAACUUCAGGAAACUGGGGCUAAUACCGGAUAGGAUCUCCUGCUGCAUGGUGGGGGUUGGAAAGUUUCGGCGGUUGGGGAUGGACUCGCGGGUUAUCAGCUUGUUGGUGGGGUAGUGGCUUACCAAGGCUUUGACGGGUAGCCGGCCUGAGAGGGUGACCGGGCACAUUGGGACUGAGGUACGGAGCAGACUCCUACGGGAGGCAGCAGUGGGGAAUAUGGCACAGUGGGGGGAAGCCUGAUGCAGAAACGCCGCGUGCGGGAUGACGGCCUUCGGGUUGUAAACAGCUUUCGAAUGUGACGAAGAGUGAGUGACGGUAAUGGGUAAAGAAGCACCGGCUAACUACGUG
rnacentral:rRNA from 1 species